GACGAACGCUGGCGGCGUGCUUAACACAUGCAAGUCGAACGGUCACAGGAGAACUUUCUCCUCCUGAUCAGUGGCGAACGGGUGAGUAACACGUGAGCAAUCUGCCCCUGACUCUGGGAUAACUCCGGGAAACUGUAGCUCAUACCGGAUACGACACACGAAAGCAUCUUCUGCACGUGGAAAGAAUUUCUUUCAUGGAUGAGCUCGCGGGAUAUCAGCUUGUUGGUAUGGUAAUGGCUCACCCAGGCUACCACGGGUAGCCGGCCUGGGCGGGUGAUCGGCCACACUGGAACUGAGAAGCGGUCCAGACUCCUACGGGAGGCAGCAGGAGGGAAUCUUACGCAAUGGGCGGAAGCUUGACGGAGCAACGCCGGGUGAGUGAUGAAGGUCUUCGGAGCGUAAAACUCUGUUAUUAGGGAAGAACAAAUGUGUAAGUAACUAUGCCCGUCUUGACGGUACCUAAUCAGAAAGCCACGGCUAACUACGUG
rnacentral:rRNA from 1 species